GCCCUCUCCACUUUUAGCUAGCUCAGUCGGUAGAGCAUGAGACUCUUAAUCUCAGGGUCGUGGGUUCGUGCCCCACGUUGGGCG
rnacentral:tRNA from 1 species